rnacentral:rRNA from 1 species
CCUACGGGAGGCAGCAGUGAGGAAUAUUGGUCAAUGGACGAGAGUCUGAACCAGCCAAGUAGCGUGAAGGAUGACUGCCCUAUGGGUUGUAAACUUCUUUUAUAAGGGAAUAAAACUAGGUACGUGUGCCGUUUUGCAUGUACUUUAUGAAUAAGGAUCGGCUAACUCCGUGCCAGCAGCCGCGGUAAUACGGAGGAUCCGAGCGUUAUCCGGAUUUAUUGGGUUUAAAGGGAGCGUAGAUGGGUUGUUAAGUCAGUUGUGAAAGUUUGCGGCUCAACCGUAAAAUUGCAGUUGAUACUGGCAGUCUUGAGUACAGUUGAGGUAGGCGGAAUUCGUGGUGUAGCGGUGAAAUGCUUAGAUAUCACGAAGAACCCCGAUUGCGAAGGCAGCUUACUAGACUGUAACUGACGUUGAUGCUCGAAAGUGUGGGUAUCAAACAGGAUUAGAUACCCGUGUAGUC